rnacentral:rRNA from 1 species
UAUUCUGUAGCAAGGUUAACCGUAUAGGGGAGCCGGAGGGAAACCGAGUCUUAAUUGGGCGUUAAGUUGCAGGGUAUAGACCCGAAACCCGGUGAUCUAGCCAUGGGCAGGUUGAAGGUUGGGUAACACUAACUGGAGGACCGAACCGACUAAUGUUGAAAAAUUAGCGGAUGACCUGUGGCUGGGGGUGAAAGGCCAAUCAAACCGGGAGAUAGCUGGUUCUCCCCGAAAGCUAUUUAGGUAGCGCCUCGUGAAUUCAUCUCCGGGGGUAGAGCACUGUUUCGGCUAGGGGGCCAUCCCGGCUUACCAACCCGAUGCAAACUGCGAAUACCGGAGAAUGUUAUCACGGGAGACACACGGCGGGUGCUAACGUCCGUCGUGAAGAGGGAAACAACCCAGACCGCCAGCUAAGGUCCCAAAGUCAUGGUUAAGUGGGAAACGAUGUGGGAAGGCCCAGACAGCCAGGAUGUUGGCUUAGAAGCAGCCAUCAUUUAAAGAAAGCGUAAUAGCUCACUGGUCGAGUCGGCCUGCGCGGAAGAUGUAACGGGGCUAAACCAUG